CCUACGGGGGGCAGCAGUGGGGGAUAUUGGACAAUGGGGGGAACCCUGAUCCAGCGACGCCGCGUGAGUGAAGAAGUAUUUCGGUAUGUAAAGCUCUGUCAGCAGGGAAGAAAGAAAUGACGGUACCUGACCAAGAAGCCCCGGCUAACUACGUGCCAGCAGCCGCGGUAAUACGUAGGGGGCAAGCGUUAUCCGGAAUUACUGGGUGUAAAGGGGGCGUAGGCGGUUAAGUAAGUCUGGAGUGAAAGGCUGGGGCCCAACCCCGGGACUGCUCUGGAAACUAUUCAACUUGAGUGCAGGAGAGGUAAGCGGAAUGCCUGGUGUAGCGGUGAAAUGCGUAGAUAUUAGGAGGAACACCAGUGGCGAAGGCGGCUUACUGGACUGUAACUGACGUUGAGGCUCGAAAGCGUGGGGAGCAAACAGGAUUAGAUACCCGUGUAGUC
rnacentral:rRNA from 1 species